UCAAGAUUAGCCAUGCAUGUCUAGUAUAGCAAUCAUGCCGUGAAACUGCGAAUGGCUCAUUAAAUCAGUUAUCGUUUAUUUGAUAGUACCUUACUACUUGGAUAACCGUGGUAAUUCUAGAGCUAAUACAUGCUGAAAACCCCAACUUCGGGAGGGGUGUAUUUAUUAGAUAAAAAACCAACGCCCUUCGGGGCUUCUUGGUGAUUCAUGAUAACUUCACGGAUCGCAUGGCCUUGCGCCGGCGACGGUUCAUUCAAAUUUCUGCCCUAUCAACUUUCGAUGGUAAGGUAUUGGCUUACCAUGGUUUCAACGGGUAACGGGGAAUUAGGGUUCGAUUCCGGAGAGGGAGCCUGAGAAACGGCUACCACAUCCAAGGAAGGCAGCAGGCGCGCAAAUUACCCAAUCCCGACACGGGGAGGUAGUGACAAUAAAUACUGAUACAGGGCUCUUUUGGGUCUUGUAAUUGGAAUGAGUACAAUUUAAACCUCUUAACGAGGAACAAUUGGAGGGCAAGUCUGGUGCCAGCAGCCGCGGUAAUUCCAGCUCCAAUAGCGUAUAUUAAAGUUGUUGCAGUUAAAAAGCUCGUAGUUGAAACUUGGGCCUGGCUGGCAGGUCCGCCUCACCGCGUGUACUUGUCCGGCCGGGCCUUUCCUUCUGGAGAACCUCAUGCCCUUCACUGGGUGUGUUGGGGAACCAGGACUUUUACUUUGAAAAAAUUAGAGUGUUCAAAGCAGGCCUUUGCUCGAAUACGUUAGCAUGGAAUAAUAGAAUAGGACGUGCGGUCCUAUUUUGUUGGUUUCUAGGACCGCCGUAAUGAUUAAUAGGGACAGUCGGGGGCAUCAGUAUUCAAUUGUCAGAGGUGAAAUUCUUGGAUUUAUUGAAGACUAACUACUGCGAAAGCAUUUGCCAAGGAUGUUUUCAUUAAUCAGUGAACGAAAGUUAGGGGAUCGAAGACGAUCAGAUACCGUCGUAGUCUUAACCGUAAACUAUGCCGACUAGGGAUCGGGCGAUGUUCUUUUUCUGACUCGCUCGGCACCUUACGAGAAAUCAAAGUUUUUGGGUUCUGGGGGGAGUAUGGUCGCAAGGUGAAUAG
rnacentral:rRNA from 1 species